rnacentral:rRNA from 1 species
AGCGAACGUUAGCGGCAGGCCUAACACAUGCAAGUCGCGCGAGAAUGGGGCUUCGGCUCCUAGUAAAGCGGCGGACAGGUGAGUAACACGUGGAUAAUCUGCCCUUCGGCGGGGGGACAACAGUCCGAAAGGAUUGCUAAUACCGCGUAAGUCGGCGAGGUCUUCGGAGUCUUGUCGGGAAAGAUGGCCUCUUCAUGAAGCUAUCACCGAAGGAUGAGUCCGCGUCCCAUCAGCUAGUUGGCGGUGUAAGAGACCACCAAGGCUAAGACGGUAGCUGGUCUGAGAGGAUGAUCAGCCACACUGGAACUGAGACACGGUCCAGACU